GCUGGUAGGUUGGUCCGGCUCUGGACUUGGUAUUCCAGAUGCCGAGGGUUCGAAUCCCUCUACCAGCU
rnacentral:tRNA from 1 species